ACAGUCUCAUUCUGAGAUUCCUGGAAGCAGGAUCGCCAUUUCGAACUGAGGUCAAGUCUCCAGCCCCUUGCCCAGUUCACGAACUGUAUGGUGGCGCAUAGAGCGCAGAUGGGCAUAGUGCGCUGCAGCAGACUGUGGGUCAGAUGUUCUCCUGAGGAGUGAUCAACCAGGAAGCAGCCAUGUGGAGCAGCUCAAGACCCAGCCGGGACCAAGCAAGUGCAAAUGACAUUGCUUAGAAAGAUGCACAUGCCAUUUAAGGGCCUUGGAUCAUCCCCAAAGCAGAAGGCUAGACCAGUGGGCCAGGAGGAAACUAGAAGGAAGGACAGAGGAAAGAAGUGAUGGAGAAAGGGCAGAGGAGGAGGAAAGGGAAGAGGAAGGAAGGAGGAAAAGCUAAUAGGGUCUUCAUGGCAAGUCCUGGUCAGGUACAGAGCUCAGGAGGCUGCACGCCUCCCUGGCCUCCAGCUUAAGCCUCUGGAUCUUCCAUUGCCCUCACUGUGUUUGUUCUCUGUUCUCUUCUAAUCCACAUACCACACGCUUUUUCAGCAACCCUUGCUGCUAGCCCAUGCUCCCUGAAAAUUGGCUGGGGUCACUUACAUAAGCCACUUAAUUCCAGCAUUAAGAGUCAUGGACCUACUCUUUGGUUUUCCUCUAGCAGGAUCUUUUGUGGAAUCUGUCAGUUGGUAACACCUCCUCUGACUUCUGUGUUGACGCUGCUGGUUGUUCCUCCACCUUUGUCAUCUCUUCUCAGAGAGCUUCAUCAACUCUUGCUAUUGGUCUGCCCCUUUAAAUGCUGAUACCACUGAGGCUCUGCCAUGCCUCCCCAGUCUUCUCCCUCACUCCACUGCCCCUGAAGGACCGUCCCAUCUGCAUGUAUUUCCCACAGUGAGCUCUCUGGAUAUUACCUCCUGGACAACACAGAUUCCCUGAUUCAGUGAGCUUCGUGCUCCUUUAAUUCUGUUCUCUUGAGUUACUGACAGCACAUCUGCCCGAGACACACACCUGAGUUCUCUUAACCUCCUCUGCUCUCUUCAUCCUCUAGACUAGUGGUUCUCAAUGUCCUAGAGCUGGGACCCUUUAAUUCAGUUCCGCAUGUUGUGGCCACCCCAACCAUAACAUUAUGUUGUUGCUACU